UACGUAGGGUGCGAGCGUUGUCCGGAGUUACUGGGCGUAAAGCGCACGCAGGCGGUCUGCUAAGUUUGGAGUGACAGUUGGUGGCUUAACUGCCAAAGUGCUUCGAAAACUGACAGACUUGAGGGCUUCAGAGGGACACGGAAUUCCGGGUGGAGUGGUGAAAUGCGUAGAGAUCCGGAGGAACACCAAAGGCGAAGGCAGUGUCCUGGGGAGUACCUGACGCUGAGGUGCGAAAGCCAGGGGAGCGAACGGG
rnacentral:rRNA from 1 species